UACGAAGGGAGCUAGCGUUGUUCGGAAUUACUGGGCGUAAAGAGCGUGUAGGCGGCCAGAUAAGUCCGCUGUGAAAUCUCGAGGCUCAACUUCGAGCUGUCGGUGGAAACUGUCUGGCUAGAGUCCGGAAGAGGAGAAUGGAAUUCCUGGUGUAGCGGUGAAAUGCGCAGAUAUCAGGAAGAACACCGGUGGCGAAGGCGGGUCUCUGGGAAGUAACUGACGCUGAGAAGCGAAAGCGUGGGUAGCGAACAGG
rnacentral:rRNA from 1 species